AUUGAACGCUGGCGGCAGGCCUAACACAUGCAAGUCGAACGAGGGGCGGACGGGUGAGUAAUGUCUGGGAAACUGCCUGAUGGAGGGGGAUAACUACUGGAAACGGUAGCUAAUACCGCAUAACCUCAGUAGUGCCCAGAUGAGAUUAGCUGGUUGGUGGGGUAACGGCUCACCAAGGCGACGAUCCCUAGCUGGUCUGAGAGGAGGACCAGCCACACUGGAACUAAUGCACUGUCCAGAGUCCUACGGGAGGCAGCAGUGGGAAAGAUUGCACAAUGGGCGCAAGCCUGAGGCAGCCAUGCCGCGUGUAUGAAGAAGGCCUGCGGGUUGUAAAGUACUUUCAGCAGGGAGGCGUUACCCGCAGAAGAAGCACCGGCGAACUCCGUGCCAGCAGCCGCGGUAAUUC
rnacentral:rRNA from 1 species